rnacentral:rRNA from 1 species
UAAGGAAUAUUGCUCAAUGGGAGAAAUCCUGAAGCAGCAACGCCGCGUGGAGGAUGAAGGGUCUAUGACUUGUAAACUCCUGUAAAGAAGGAAAAAAUUCCCAUUAGAUGGGAGAUGAUGGUACUUCUGGAGUAAGCCCCGGCUAACUACGUGCCAGCAGCCGCGGUAAUACGUAGGGGGCAAGCGUUGUCCGGAUUUACUGGGUGUAAAGGGUGCUCAGGCGGAUUUGUAAGUCAGAGGUGAAAUCUUACAGCUUAACUGUGAAACUGCCUUUGAUACUGCAAGCCUAGAGUAUGGAAGAGAGUGAUGGAAUAUCUGGUGUAGCAGUGAAAUGCGUAGAUAUCAGAUAGAACACCAAUGGUGAAGGCGGACACUUGGUCCAUUACUGACGCUAAAGCACGAAAGCGUGGGUAGCAAACA